GAAGGUACAGCUCAAGUGGUAGACACAUGCUUCACAUGCAUGAGGUUCUGGGUUCAAUCCCCAGUACCUCUU
rfam:Camelus ferus unplaced genomic scaffold scaffold1533, whole genome shotgun sequence.